rnacentral:rRNA from 1 species
UACGAAGGGUGCAAGCGUUACUCGGAAUUACUGGGCGUAAAGCGUGAGUAGGUGGUGAGUUAAGUCUGUCGUGAAAGCCCCGGGCUCAACCUGGGAAUGGCGAUGGAUACUGGCUCGCUAGAGUGCGGUAGAGGAGAGUGGAAUUCCCGGUGUAGCAGUGAAAUGCGUAGAGAUCGGGAGGAACAUCAGUUGCGAAGGCGGCUUCCUGGACCGACACUGACGCUGAGGCGCGAAAGCUAGGGGAGCAAACGGGG